UACGUAGGGGGCAAGCGUUGUCCGGAAUUAUUGGGCGUAAAGAGCGCGUAGGCGGUCCGAUAAGUCGGCUGUGAAAGUCCAGGGCUCAACCCUGGAAAGCCGGCCGAUACUGUCGGACUAGAGUCCGGAAGAGGCAAGUGGAAUUCCCGGUGUAGCGGUGAAAUGCGCAGAUAUCGGGAGGAACACCAAUGGCGAAGGCAGCUCGCUGGGACGUGACUGACGCUGAGACGCGAAAGCGUGGGGAGCAAACAGG
rnacentral:rRNA from 1 species